CUCAGGACCAAGCGGUAAGUGAACUGAGGAGGAAGCUCACUCAGGCACCCUGUUUAGCAUACCCAGAGGGGGGUAAACCCUUCUAUCUGGAGACAGGAUAUACCGACUUAAGCAUUAGUGCUGUUCUGUAUCAGAAGCAGGACAGUUUAAACAAAGUUAUUGCAUAUGCUAGCAAGACUUUGUCACCUGUUGAAGUUAAAUUCAACACGUG